CCCGCUCAGAACUUAAAGGAAUGACGGGGCCCGCACAAGCGGUGGAGCAUGUGGUUAAUUCGAAGCAACGCGAAGAACCUUACCAGGCCUUGACAUGCAGAGAACUUCCAGAGAUGGAUUGGUGCCUUCGGGAACUCUGACACAGGUGCUGCAUGGCUGUCGUCAGCUCGUGCGUGAGAUGUUGGGUUAAGUCCCGUAACGAGCGCAACCCUUGUCCUUAGUUACCAGCACGUUAUGGUGGGCACUCUAAGGAGACUGCCGGUGACAAACCGGAGGAAGGUGGGGAUGACGUCAAGUCAUCAUGGCCCUUACGGCCUGGGCUACACACGUGCUACAAUGGUCGGUACAAAGGGUUGCCAAGCCGCGAGGUGGAGCUAAUCCCAUAAAACCGAUCGUAGUCCGGAUCGCAGUCUGCAACUCGACUGCGUGAAGUCGGAAUCGCUAGUAAUCGUGAAUCAGAAUGUCACGGUGAAUACGUUCCCGGGCCUU
rnacentral:rRNA from 1 species